GACGAACGCUGGCGGCGUGCUUAACACAUGCAAGUCGAACGGAAAGGCCCUGCUUUUGUGGGGUGCUCGAGUGGCGAACGGGUGAGUAACACGUGAGUAACCUGCCCUUGACUUUGGGAUAACUUCAGGAAACUGGGGCUAAUACCGGAUAGGAGCUCCUGCUGCAUGGUGGGGGUUGGACAGUUUCGGCGGUUGGGGAUGGACUCGCGGCUUAUCAGCUUGUUGGUUGGGUAGUGGCUUACCCAGGCUUUGACGGGUAGCCGGCCUGAGAGGGUGACCAGCCACCUGGGGACUGAGAUACGGCCCAGACUCCUACGGUAGACAGCAGUGGGGAAUAUUGCACAAUGGGCGCAAGCCUGAUGAAGAAAUCCCCCGUGCGGGAAGACGGCCUUCGGGUGGUAAACCGCUUUCGCCUGUGACCAAGCGUGAGUGACGGUAAUGAGUAAAGAAGCACCGGCUAACUACGUG
rnacentral:rRNA from 1 species